AACGAACGCUGGCGGCAUGCCUAACACAUGCAAGUCGAACGAGACCUUCGGGUCUAGUGGCGCACGGGUGCGUAACGCGUGGGAACCUGCCCUUAGGUUCGGAAUAACUCCCCGAAAGGGGUGCUAAUACCGGAUAAUGUCUUCGGACCAAAGAUUUAUCGCCUUUGGAUGGGCCCGCGUUGGAUUAGCUAGUUGGUAGGGUAAAAGCCUACCAAGGCGACGAUCCAUAGCUGGUCUGAGAGGAUGAUCAGCCACACUGGGACUGAGACACGGCCCAGACUCCUACGGGAGGCAGCAGUGGGGAAUAUUGGACAAUGGGCGAAAGCCUGAUCCAGCAAUGCCGCGUGAGUGAUGAAGGCCUUAGGGUUGUAAAGCUCUUUUACCCGGGAUGAUAACGACAGUACCGGGAGAACAAGCUCCGGCUAACUCCGUG
rnacentral:rRNA from 1 species